UCCAAACAUGUUUAUUACAAAGACGUUUAAUUGUCCUUAAUGCUCUCUUUCACUCUCAAAUGAUGUAGCUGUCUACCCCGCCAUGCUUUUUGGAUCAAAGGCUCAAGUUAGAAAGGGAGACACUAUAGAUUUGAAGUGUAAUAUCUCUGGCAUCAUAAGAUUCUGGGACAAGGUUCAUGUGUACAUUUACAAGAAUGGAGUUGAGAUGGCAAUGAAGGUUUUGGAGAAAGGUGAAGAUGACGCUAUUUUCACCAUGAAGGAUGUUACAAGAGAAGACUCAGGCAACUACAGCUGUGUGUACACCAGAGAUAAACUUUUACUGGAUCAAGUGAAGUCAGCAGGCAAGAAUUUAGUAGCCAUCUGUGUCUACGAAGAGGCUGCACAUGAUGUAAUACUGGUCAAUGUAAUCCGACUGAUAAGUUCAGCUGUUGUGGUCAUACUUCUGCUGACUGUAGUGGCUGUUAGUUCAUGCUGUUCAAAAAGAGGAGCUUUACAAUGUUAUUGUGGAAGAACACCACAACAGGAGGAGAACGAUGUGCCAAUGACAGGGGAGGGUGACGACGGAACUUCAAACAUGGAGGAAGAAUCCAGUGAUGAAUUUGCUUAUGAAAGUGUUGCAGGUAAGACCAAAAACAAAUGUGGGAUAAUGUUUAGCUGUAAGUGUAUUUUAAAAUACUGACCAUGCUGAUACUAAGUAAAUGGUCAUUAAAUUAGUUUGUUAAAAGUUUAGUUUUUUCCAUUUGAUGUGAGGUUGGACUUAAGCAUGUAUAGCUUGUUAGCAUGUAGGGCCCACCGAUUGCUGCCACCUCGUUAUUUAGUUUGGGCUCCCGAGUGUCACAGCAGUCUACGGCACUGCAUCUCAGUGCUAGAGGCGUCACUACAGACCCUGGUUUGAUUCCAGGCUGUAUCACAACUGGCUGUGAUUGGGAGUCCCAUAGGGCAGCGCACAAUUGGCCCAGCGUCAUCUGGGUUAGGGUUUGCCGACAUUGUAAAUAAGAAUUUGUUCUUAACUGACCUGCCUAUUUAAAUAAAGGUUAAAUAAAAAAAUUAAAAAGUAUGUGUUACACCUGUGCUGGUUGCCAUCUCGUUCGUGGGAAGGUGUUUCACCUGGUGCUAUUUAAGAGUGGCUGACCCAGUGCUCUAGUUGUCUUGAGAGAUGUGAAGGGUUAGCACCUUUAGUUGGCUCUCCCUAGUUUGAUUUCUAGACAAACCAUCCUUUAUCCCUGUUUUUGUUUCACUCCACUUUUUGGUUUUCUCCCUGUUUGGUGUGGGUUUUUCUUUUGUUUGCCUCUUCUUGGGCAAAUUUAGUGGGCAUUCAUGGUGGCUGUCUUUUAGAUUCCCAUUGUUGCUAGUCAACUUUCAGUGGACACACCCGUGUGUCUUUCAGAACCCCUCUUAAAACCCCACCUGUUUCAUUUACAUUGUUGGUCAGGGACAUUUUAGAUUUUCUUGCUAGGGAAUGUAACAAGUUUCAUUGCCUUGCUUUAAAACAGUCUACAUUUGUUAUUGUGAUCAUUUUCAUCUUAUCCACCAAACAGGUGGGGGGGUGUACCAGAAUGUGUAUGAGAACUGCUUAGAUAAUAUGACUCAUAAAAAUGUACUCAUUACGAUGUUAAUAAUAAUAAUGUUUUUUUUCAUUCUUACAUUUGCAAUACUGGGUAAAUUAAAAACUUGUUUGGGAGAUGUUUUAUUUAAGGUUUUUAGCACCUUGAAUAAAACAAGUUUUUCUGUUGUUUUUUUUAUUCGUUUUUUUAUGAUUUAGAUAUUUCAUCUUCUAAUCACCCAAACAGGCGAUACAACAUUUGGAUGAGAAAUGCUAAGAUAAUACAAUUAUGAUAAUAAUGAUGCUGUAUAUUUUAAAACAUUUUUUUUUUUAAAGUUAUUCUGACAUUUCUGAUACUGGGUAAAUGGAUAUGACUAAACUAAUAUGCAACGCCUUGAGUGAAUAUUGUCUAAAUUAAUGGUUUUAACAUCUAAUCUUCAAAACAGGUGAUGAGAUUGAGAUGUAAAACAACUUGGGUGAGAAAUGCUAACAAAUGCAUUGAUUAUAUUGUGAAAUUUAAAAGGCUGGGUAAAUGGUUAUAUAACAGAUUUUAGGCCCUUGGGUGAAAAACUUUUGCAAAAAUUGUUUUAAUUAAAUAUAUUUAACUUCCAUCUUAUCUCCAAAACAGACGAUGCCAUAUACCAAGAAAUUACGGUGAGCUGUGAGUUCCAAAUGAACUUUGACUAAUGAUAACUAAUGAUUAUAAUGACUCUUAGUUAUAAUUCAAAAUUCAAUGUAUUCCUCUUCUAUUUUUACAUUUACAUUUUAUUGAGGUGAGUUCAAAAUGUUGAAAUAGUAACAAUAUAUACUGUACUCUCCACCGUAAAGUUAGGUGUACUUUUGGAUUUCCAUACAUGGUAGGCAGAACGAGUCAGGUUUUGUCACUGACCUUGAAAAAUAUCUUGACUCACUUUCUCUGUCAAUGGUGUCAUUCCUGACAUAAGUAGCAGUUGGCACAGGAAACCAAAGAUUUUUUUGUUGGUACUUCACAUAAAGAGAACCAAGAUGAUCUGGGUGUGUUUCCUCUGGGCAGAGAAUAGACUUGUGUUUCCUUUGAAUGUCCUCAGAGCUGUGGUGUAUAAUGUGGUGAACACUCUUCAAUUUAGCAUUGCUUCUGUAAUAAACCUAUUUAAUCAUUGUCUUAAUGUCAUUGUCCUACCUUAUCUUGGAUCCUACAAUAUCCUGAAAAUUGAGAAAUGUCUAAUACAAGAUAAAAAAAAUUAAAGUCUCUCUGAACACACAGCUGUCAUCUAAUGUGAUGAAGGAUAUACUGGAUCUGAUACAAUAUGUUGGGGUCUUUUCAUCCACAGAUGCAGCAAAUCAAGGCCCAGAUGCAGAAGUUGUGUAUGCCAAAUCACGCAAAAAGACAGGACGUCAUCAGUACAUGUCUUAAUCAUGAGUGGAAGUCAUUUAAUUUUAAAGCACCACAUUAAGUAUUAUUGCUGUAUAUACGGUUGCAUUCUCCCU
rnacentral:lncRNA from 1 species